rnacentral:rRNA from 1 species
CAAAAUGCGAUACUUGGUGUGAAUUGCAGAAUCCCGUGAACCAUCGAGUUUUUGAACGCAAGUUGCGCCCAAAGCCAUUCGGCCGAGGGCACGUCUGCCUGGGCGUCACGC